UCAAAUCUUUUCUGGGCUGGUCAGUUUUUUAAGUUACCAGCCCAGAUGUCUGGCUGGGUUUUUGGCUUAUUUCAUACACUGACACAACUCACUGAAA